rnacentral:rRNA from 1 species
UACGUAGGGGGCAAGCGUUGUCCGGAUUUAUUGGGCGUAAAGAGCGUGUAGGCGGCUAUACAGGUCCGCUGUGAAACUCGAGGCUCAACCUCGAGACGUCGGUGGAAACCGUAUGGCUAGAGUCCGGAAGAGGAGAGUGGAAUUCCUGGUGUAGCGGUGAAAUGCGCAGAUAUCAGGAAGAACACCCGUGGCGAAGGCGGCUCUCUGGGACGGUACUGACGCUGAGACGCGAAAGCGUGGGGAGCGAACAGG